rnacentral:rRNA from 1 species
GGUAGAGAGCGUGCUCUCGGGUGACGAGCGGCGGACGGGUGAGUAAUGUCUGGGAAACUGCCUGAUGGAGGGGGAUAACUACUGGAAACGGUAGCUAAUACCGCAUAACGUCGCAAGACCAAAGUGGGGGACCUUCGGGCCUCAUGCCAUCAGAUGUGCCCAGAUGGGAUUAGCUAGUAGGUGGGGUAAUGGCUCACCUAGGCGACGAUCCCUAGCUGGUCUGAGAGGAUGACCAGCCACACUGGAACUGAGACACGGUCCAGACUCCUACGGGAGGCAGCAGUGGGGAAUAUUGCACAAUGGGCGCAAGCCUGAUGCAGCCAUGCCGCGUGUAUGAAGAAGGCCUUCGGGUUGUAAAGUACUUUCAGCGAGGAGGAAGGCAUUAAGGUUAAUAACCUUGGCGAUUGACGUUACUCGCAGAAGAAGCACCGGCUAACUCCGUGCCAGCAGCCGCGGUAAUGA